rnacentral:rRNA from 1 species
GAGCGCCCCGCAAGGGGAGCGGCAGACGGGAUAGUAACACGUGGGAACGUACCCUUCAGUUCGGAACAACCCAGGGAAACUUGGGCUAAUACCGAAUACGUCCGUAAGGAGAAAGAUUUAUCGCUGAAGGAUCGGCCCGCGUCUGAUUAGCUAGUUGGUGGGGUAAUGGCCCACCAAGGCGACGAUCAGUAGCUGGUCUGAGAGGAUGAUCAGCAUCACUGGGACUGAGACACGGCCCAGACUCCUACGGGAGGCAGCAGUGGGGAAUAUUGGACAAUGGGCGCAAGCCUGAUCCAGCCAUGCCGCGUGGAUGAUGAAGGCCUUAGGGUUGUAAAGUCCUUUUAACGGGGAAGAUAAUGACGGUACCCGUAGAAUAAGCCCCGGCUAACUUCGUG